UACGUAGGGUGCGAGCGUUAAUCGGAAUUACUGGGCGUAAAGCGCACGUAGGCGGCUUUGUAAGUUAGAGGUGAAAGCCCGGGGCUCAACUCCGGAACUGCCUUUAAGACUGCAUCGCUUGAAUCCGGGAGAGGUGAGUGGAAUUCCGAGUGUAGAGGUGAAAUUCGUAGAUAUUCGGAAGAACACCAGUGGCGAAGGCGGCUCACUGGACCGGUAUUGACGCUGAGGUGCGAAAGCGUGGGGAGCAAACAGG
rnacentral:rRNA from 1 species